GGCUUCGUAGCUCAGCUGGUACGGCGCUUGCCGUCUUGAGGCGUGCAGUUUCUGUAGUUCGUUCGAAUCCAGCCGAAGCCU
rnacentral:tRNA from 1 species